AUUGAACGCUGGCGGCAGGCCUAACACAUGCAAGUCGAACGAGUGGCGGACGGGUGAGUAAGGACUGGGAAACUGCCUGAUGGAGGGGGAUAACUACUGGAAACGGUAGCUAAUAACGCAUACCAUCGGAUGUGCCCAGAUGGGAUUAGCUAGUUGGUGGGGUAACGGCUCACCAAGGCGCCGCUCCCUAGCUGGGCUGAGAGGAUGACCAGUCACACUGGAACUGCGACACGGGCCAGACUCCGACGGGAGGCAGCAGUGGGGAAUAUUGCACAAUGGGCGCAAGCAUGAUGCAGCCAUGCCGCGUGUAUGAAGAAGGCCUUCGGGUUGUAAAGUACUUUCAGCGGGGAGGCGUUACCCGCAGAAGAAGCACCGGCUAACUCCGUGCCAGCCGCCGCGGUAAUAC
rnacentral:rRNA from 1 species